UGCCGGAUCGUCUAAUGGUAGGACGCUGGAUUCUGGCUCCAGUAAUCUAGGUUCGAGUCCUAGUCCGGCAGCCA
rnacentral:tRNA from 1 species